AUACCUUUCCCAGCCUUUUGGCUAAGAUCAAGUUUAGUAUCUUUUACCAAAAAAAAAAGUUUAGUAUCUGUGUGGGUCAUCGACCCACAUGAUAUCUUUUAGAGAGAGGGCCCAGUGGCCCACCACGGUGGCUUGCUGCUGGGGCACUCGAGCCUAUGCGUUGCACUUGCACUACUGCUUGGCCGUGGCGCACCCC